rnacentral:lncRNA from 10 species
AGUUAUAGCUAUGUUUUUGCUCUUCAAAUCUCCUUCAUUUAAGUAAAGGCCCCACUGGGAAAUUUUUAGAUUGCCUGUUAAGAAAAACCUUGUCCAAGAACAAUUGUUCUAUCAAAAUUCAUGAUAUCAAAGAAAAGUGUAAACUAGAAUAUCUUAAUUUCUUUCAAGGCAUCCAAUCUAGUUUUCUCUGAACAACAAAAUGGAAAACCUCAGUCUUCAAAAACCUCAUGGACUUUUCUCAGCUUUUCCACCAACACACUGGACUCCAUUCUCUCUGCUGUCUAAUUGCAUCUGAUAAACAUAUUUAUGUAGGCAAAGAAUGAGCCCAUUUGAGUUUCUAUCUUUGUUUUCCCACAGGGAGACGCACAAAGAUGUUCGGUCCUUUCCUUCUGAAGGCUGGACAGUUCUGUGUGACGCACACACAUAUUUCUAAGCGUUUUGCAGCACUGUGACAUUGCUUAAUGCAACUCACAGGGGUGUGAAGGGCUGAAAAGACCUUUGAGUGAAGUCAGCCUUUGACCAGAGAAUCCCUAAGCCAUGGAUUCUUUCUGGCUUUGGAAGAUGGGACAGAAGAUGUAGAUGGUUAACCAUCCCCCAAGGAUGGAGGAUCUCACUACCCUUCACACCCAGGGAUGACCUCAUCAUUAGCUCUAAUAUGAAGUCUAAUGCUUCCAGUUGCAUAAGUUGGGGCAAAGUACUUACUCUCUCUAGGGUUCACAUUUUUCAUGGUAAAUGAUGUCUAUGAUAGAGGGGUUACUGCUGGGACUAAAGACAGAAAACAGGCCAACGGCAUUCUCCAGUGGCUUACAGACAAGCAGUGCCUGAUGUAUUUUGGGUCCUCCAUAUCACUUUUUAAAAAAAUUAUGGUAAGAACACUUAACAUGAGAUCUGCCCACUUAAGAAAUGUCUAAGUGUACAACACAGUAUUGUUAUCUAUAGGUACAACGUUGUACCGCAGAUCUAUAGAACUUGCUCGUCUUGCCUAACUGCAACUUUAUGCCCUUUGAAUAGCAACACAUCAAUUUCCUCCCACUCUCAACCCCCGGCAACCACCUUUCUACUCUCGCUCCUGUGAGUUUGACUAUUUUAGAUGCCUCAUGCUACAUUUGUCUUUCUGUAACUGGCUUAUUUCACUAAACACAGUGUCAUCCAGGUUCAUCCAUUCUGCUGCAUAUUUCAUGGUUUCCUUUUUUGUUCAGGCUGAAUAAUAUUCUAUUGUAUGAAUAUACCAUAUUUUCUUUAUCCAUUUUUUUUUUUUUUUUUGUGAGAUAGAGCCUCACUCUGUCAACCCAGGCUGGAGAGUAGUGGUAUGAUCUCGGCUCACUGAAACCUCUGCCUACUGGGUUCAAGCAAUUCUCCUGCCUCAGCCUCCUAAGUAGCUGAAACUACAAGUGCACACCACCACAUCCAGCUAAUCUUUGUAUUUUUAGUAGAGAUGAGGUUUCACCAUGUUGGCCAGGCUAGUCUCAAACUCCUGACCUCAGGUGAUCCACCCAUCUCGACCUCCCAAAGUUCUGGAAUUACAGGCAUGAGCCACCACGCCCGGCUUCCUUCCACUCUUUCAGCAAUGGACAUUUAGGUUAUCUCUAUACCUUGGCUAUUGUGAGUAGUGAUGCAAUGAACACGGGAGAGCAAAUAUCUCUCUGAGGUCUUGAUUUUGAUGAUUUUGGAUAAAUACCCAGAAGUGGGAUUGCUUCCACUGGUAGUUCUAUUUUUAAUUUUUUUCGUUGUCCUCCACAGAUUUCUCUAACACAUGCUUCUAACUUCAAAUUUCUUUACUCAUAGCACGGAUUCCAGUACCGAUCCACUCUCAAUGCUGCCCAUUUCUGUAUUUUUCUGACAAUUUCCAAGUAUUUUAUGAAUAAGUAUCUCUUUUCUUGGCUAAUGGAUAGAACUGAAAUUGCUUUAUAACUACCAGUGGUGACUGUGAUGGGAAGGAUGACAGCUGAUGCUAAAAAAUUAACACUGAACUUCAGAGUGGUAGCAAAAAAAUGAGGGUUAUUUCAGAAACCACAAUUUAUAAACAACAGACUUCCUAACAGGCUAGAACAAUAAGAAAGUAAAAUUGUGGAUCCCCAUCCUUUCAGUGUUGGUUUGUUUUUGUUUUAUUAUAAUUAUAUAAUAAAUAUUACACUUUCAUUUUAUAUACAGAAAUGUGAAUAUUUAAAUUUUAUUAUAAUAGAAUCUUUAAUAAAAUCAACAAAUAUAGUACACUGGAACAAAUACACCUAUCUCAGAAAACACAUUGAGGGCAGAAAGAAUAUUCACUUAUAAGUGCAAUCAGUGCCUUCAAUUAUAGUUGAGUUCCAAAGAUAUAAAAUGUAAAAUGUAACUAUAUCAUAUAUGAUGGUUUGCUUCCUGUGAAAUCCACUCAUUAAUACCUUAAAGGCCUUCCCGUGAUCCUGUUUAAUAAUAUAUUCUUAAAAGGGUGUUAUUCUCUGCAACACACAUUUUUAAUUCUGGAUAUUUAAAAAAACAAACUCAACAUUUUUCUUGGCAUUUUUUGCAAAUGAAUUGGAGUUCAUUCAGACAUUCAAUUCAGUAAAAACAAAAAACACAUACAUUUCUGCAGAGCCACAGUUGAAGAGCAUGGGCUUAGGAGAGCAGACCCCCGGGUCUGGUCCCAGUUCUCCUGCCCCUCCCCAGCUUACUGUGUCACCUUGGCUGUCCCAAGAUGUGAGUUCCUCCUUGGAGAUGCAGUUCACAGCCAGAGUGAUCGCUAAGCUUCCUCCCUGCAUUAAAAUUCUAUUAUUCUAAGUCUUUCUCACUUCUCUGGAAUUUCCUGUGAUAUGGAUGCUUGCAAUUAUUACACCUCUGACAAUUGAUGCCAAUAAAAAAGCAUCUACAACAUCGGACAAUGA